UACGUAGGGGGCAAGCGUUGUCCGGAAUCAUUGGGCGUAAAGCGCGCGUAGGCGGCUCGAUCAGUCUGCUGUAAAAGUCAAAGGCUCAACCUUUGAAUGCCGGUGGAUACUGUCGGGCUAGAGUACGGAAGAGGCAAGUGGAAUUCCUGGUGUAGCGGUGGAAUGCGCAGAUAUCAGGAGGAACACCUAUAGCGAAGGCAGCUUGCUGGGACGUUACUGACGCUAAGGCGCGAAAGCGUGGGGAGCGAACAGG
rnacentral:rRNA from 1 species